AUUGAACGCUGGCGGCAUGCCUUACACAUGCAAGUCGAACGGCAGCACGGGAGCAAUCAUGGUGGCGAGUGGCGAACGGGUGAGUAAUGUAUCGGAACGUACCAUUGAGUGGGGGAUCACGUAGCGAAAGUUACGCUAAUACCGCAUAUACCCUGAGGGGGAAAGCAGGGGAUCGCCAGACCUUGUGCUCUUUGAGCGGCCGAUAUCAGAUUAGCUAGUUGGUGAGGUAAAGGCUCACCAAGGCGACGAUCUGUAGCGGGUCUGAGAGGAUGAUCCGCCACACUGGAACUGAGACACGGUCCAGACUCCUACGGGAGGCAGCAGUGGGGGAUUUUGGACAAUGGGGGCAACCCUGAUCCAGCCAUGCCGCGUGAGUGAAGAAGGCCUUCGGGUUGUAAAGCUCUUUCGGCCGGGAGGAAAUCGCAUCAGUUAAUACCUGGUGUGGAUGACAGUACCGGAAUAAGAAGCACCGGCUAACUACGUGCCAGCAGCCGCCGUAA
rnacentral:rRNA from 1 species